GAAAAUGGAGGCACAGAGCAGUGAAGUGAGUUACCCAGCAUGGGUAACUUAGCAGGGAGGUGACCGAGUGUGUGCACCUGGCAUGCAGUUAUUGUUUGAUUAAUGGCUGAGUCACUUUGGUGGUGACUAUUGAUGUUGUUAUUCUGGUUAUUGUUAUUGUUGUUAAAAUGGGUCUAGCAACAUCACAUGCAGAUAACAUCACUACUGUAUGCUCCUGAUUGGAAGUUUGCAUCACCUUGGGCUGCAGAUAGAAGCAGAAACUUGUCUCAGCAUCCAGAGGCUAUUAGGAUGCAGGAGGUGGCCAUGUCCAGGUCUGGAUUGAGACCUUGGGAGAAUGCAGAAUGAGCAGGGACCAGGUUGCUUCCUCAGACUCGAUGAAGAUUCUCAAAGGUGACUUAGCAGGGAAGGGAAGAGUGUGCAGGUGUUGGUGUAACCUGCCUGCUGAGAAGGAGAAGCAGGAAUAGAAUAAUCCCUAUGAGCCUGGGUGUCAAAGGCUAGAUGGAGCCUGAGAUGGCCCAUGAAAUUUCUCCAGGCUGGCACAGCCUUGGCACACUAGGCUGAUAGCUGUGCAUACUAGAAGGACCUGGAAUAAUAAUAAGAAGAAAUGGUGCAGCCAAUAAAGCUCCCUUCAGCAGCAAUCCAUAUGGACCAACCACCAAAGGGCUGAAAGGGGAUGAUGGAUACCCCAGCAGAGAGAAGUGUAGACAGAUGACACAAGGGCAUCAUGCCCCUCCCUUAGGACUUCCUAAGUCUCCUAUUAUUUCAGUGAAUUCCAGAGGAAAAGAGGAUGCUGAAUGAAAUAAAGUUUCUAUCACUCCAGCAGGGCAUGAUGAGAAAAUGGAACUG
rnacentral:lncRNA from 1 species